rnacentral:tRNA from 1 species
GGGAGCUUAAAGGGUUCUGGUGCCCUCCCCGGCCUUAAAAGCCGGUUUUGCAUACCACAACGGGGCGGGGUGGGUUCGAUUCCCACACGCUCUCGCCA